rnacentral:rRNA from 1 species
AACGAACGCUGGCGGCAGGCCUAACACAUGCAAGUCGAACGGGCGUAGCAAUACGUCAGUGGCAGACGGGUGAAUAACACGUGGGAACCUUCCUCGUAGUGCGGAACAACUCAGGGAAACUUGAGCUAAUACCGCAUACGCCCCGGAGCAAUCCGGGGGAAAGAUUUAUCGCUAUGAGACGGGCCCGCGUCCGAUUAGCUAGUUGGUGGGGUAACGGCCUACCAAGGCGACGAUCGGUAGCUGAUCUGAGAGGAUGAUCAGCCACACUGGGACUGAGACACGGCGCAGACGCCUACGGGAGGCAGCAGUGGGGAAUCGUGGACAAUGGGCGAAAGUCUGAUCCAGCCAUGCCGCGUGAGUGAAGAAGGCCUUAGGGUUGUAAAGCUCUUUUGGCAGGGACGAUAAUGACGGUACCUGCAGAAUAAGCCCCGGCAAACUUCGUGCCAGCAGCCGCCGCCGUAA